rnacentral:tRNA from 1 species
GUCUACAUAACUAACAGCAGGCAUGGCACGGAAGCUGGCAGGAUGACAUCGAACAUGCGGGCGAAAA